rnacentral:miRNA from 1 species
UGGCAGUGAUUGAGAUUGUUCUAA